AGUGAACGCUGGCGGUAGGCCUAACACAUGCAAGUCGAACGGCAGCACAGUAAGAGCUUGCUCUUACGGGUGGCGAGUGGCGGACGGGUGAGGAAUACAUCGGAAUCUACUUUUUCGUGGGGGAUAACGUAGGGAAACUUACGCUAAUACCGCAUACGACCUACGGGUGAAAGCAGGGGAUCUUCGGACCUUGCGCGAUUGAAUGAGCCGCUGUCGGAUUAGCUAGUUGGCGGGGUAAAGGCCCACCAAGGCGACGAUCCGUAGCUGGUCUGAGAGGAUGAUCAGCCACACUAGAGCUGAGACACGGUCCAGACUCCUACGGGAGGCAGCAGUGGGGAAUAUUGGACAAUGGGCGGAAGCCUGAUCCAGCCAUACCGCGUGGGUGAAGAAGGCCUUCGGGUUGUAAAGCCCUUUUGUUGGGAAAGAAAAGCAGCAGGUUAAUACCCCGCUGUUCUGACGGUACCCAAAGAAUAAGCACCGGCUAACUUCGUG
rnacentral:rRNA from 1 species